UACGUAGGAGGCGAGCGUUGUCCGGAUUUACUGGGCGGAAAGAGCGCGCAGGCGGCUGGUCAAGUCCGAUGUGAAAGCUCCCGGCUUAACUGGGAAAUUGCAUCGGAAACUGAUCGGCUGGAAGGUGGGAGAGGGUAGCGGAAUUCCCGGUGUAGUGGUGAAAUGCGUAGAUAUCGGGAGGAACACCAGUGGCGAAAGCGGCUACCUGGCCCAUUCUUGACGCUGAGGCGCGAAAGCUAGGGGAGCAAACGGG
rnacentral:rRNA from 1 species